UAACGGAAAAAAUCAACAGGUGAGGCGGUUAACCCCGCAAUCUUAAUAGGGAAGCCGGUGCGAAUCCGGCGCAGUCCCGCUACUGUAAUGGCGAGCUGUCUGCAAAAUGUCACUGAAGCAAUGCUUUGGGAAGGCGCAGCACGGCGAUGAACCUGAGCCAGGAGACCUGCCUGUUACGAGUAUCACAG
rnacentral:ncRNA from 2 species